ACUCAUAUUAUAAGCUUUUUAGCUAGUUAAAAUUAUAGUGAAUACAAAGUUUUUUAUUUUAUCAUUUAUAUGUAUUACAUUACUUUCAUCAUUUCCUAUUACUAGAAAAUGUAAGGUACCAGUUUUUGGGUACAAAAUAAUAUCAUUAUUGCAAGGACCAUUAGAUAUCUCAUCCAUAAUAACAACCACCCAAUGGUAAGAGUUGAGCUCUACCAACUAAACUAUAUCCCCUAAAC
rnacentral:lncRNA from 1 species